rfam:Hordeum vulgare subsp. vulgare, WGS project CAJW01000000 data, contig: morex_contig_159368
CAUGGAUCGAUGAUGUGUUUGUUAACUGCGUUAUCUUUCUGAACUUCCCAAGUAAAGAGGAAAGCAUUACCUACUGAGAUCCAAC